rnacentral:rRNA from 1 species
GACGAAGGUGGCGACCGUUGUUCGGAAUCACUGGGCAUAAAGGGCGCGUAGGCGGGUUUCCAAGUCGGUUGUGAAAUCCCUCAGCUCAACUGAGGAACUGCAUCCGAUACCGUUUAUCUUGAGGACGAGAGGGGAGAGUGGAACUUCUGGUGGAGCGGUGAAAUGCGUAGAUAUCAGAAGGAACGCCGGUGGCGAAAGCGACUCUCUGGCUCGUAUCUGACGCUGAAGCGCGAAAGCUUGGGUAGCAAACGGG